GCGCUUGGAGGGCGGCCGGAGCUGGGCCUGAGCCUGGAGACUCGCCUGAUCCCGGGCGGCCGAACCACCAUCACCACAAUCGCCCCACCCCCGCCGUCGCCUCGUGGGGCCCCGGCCCCCUCCUAGGUCCGACGCACUCCAGGGUGGGCCAGGAGAAGAGAAAAAAGAAAAGACAGCUUGGUGAUGACUAAGAAGCAAGAAACUGGAGCCUAAGCUAGUACCGAGAGGAAAGCCACCUCUGCAGCGCUCCACUUUGCCCCAGCUGCAGGAUAUGUUGUCUUGGGAUACAGGAAAAUGCAGAUGACUUUUGAAGCCCAGAUACCGUGCCUUCUCUCCUCAGACAUGGUGAGAUGUACUCGGAUCUAGAGCAGGCAGCUGGCCAGAGACCCACAGGGAGCUCAGUGAUUGGCCUCAGAUGACCUUGGGGACAAAGAUUGUCCUGUGAAGGGAAGUGAUGGCACGGGCUCUGAUCAGCUCUUCUGGGAACAGACAGAGAAGUGAGAAUUCCUGCCAAAGCCACAGGAUGAACACAGAGCCAAGAACCUGAACCAGAAAAAUCCAGCAGGAAAGGAAACUGCACUGGCCACCAUCCUGAGGCUGCUGUACAAGGAACAAUCCUACCGACUCGGCAGGAGA
rnacentral:lncRNA from 1 species